AGCUAGGGUGAUGGUAGCUUAUCUCUGAGAAGAGAUGUGUGGCUACAUGCCUUUGAACUGUGUUACAAUGAGGCUCGAAGGCCUAUUUAUUAUUGAGAAACAAUGGAAAAACCCUUCACAUUCCAAAACCUAACCCUGGAAGAUGAAAAGCCAAAUUGUGGGCCCCGUUUUUGGGUAAGUUGGUACAUCAACUUCUCGGGGUCGCGAAUUGGUCAUCUUAUCUCCAUUUGACGUGCAUAAUAGCUUGUUGGAAAGAUCUCUCCGAGGACUACGACAAAAAAGGCAAUUUUUAGACUAAAAAAUCAUUGGCGGUAUAUUUCCCAAAAAACGUCGUUUAGGGCCUCAAAACGGCUCCGAAAGUUUAGGACCCAAAAAACUGCUAAAAAUAGUAAACUUUGCUAUAAUUAAGGAAACUGAAAGAACUGAAAGAAGCACUAGAGGGGAUCCACGUGGAAUUAGUGGGUGGCCACCAAUAUCCACCUGGAUCAGGGGAUCAUUGAGAAACCUUGAGCAUGAGCUUGGGUGGAUCGGCCCCCAGUGAAGAUCUUGGUGGUAGUAACAAAUAUUCAAAUGAGAACUUUGAAGACUGAAGUGGGGAAAGGUUCCAUGUGAACAGCACUUGGACAUGGGUUAUCAAUCCUAAGAUAUGGGGAAGCCUUGUAUCAAGAGUGCACUCUGCACAAGCAUCGAAAGGGAAUCACGUUAAUAUUCCUAAACCGUGACAUGGUAGUGGGCGACAAUGUUAGGAAAUCGGGAGAUGUCGUCGGGGACCCCAGGAAGAGUUAUCUUUUAUUUUUAACAGCUUUCCCACCCUGGAAUCGGUUCACUAGGAGCUAGGAUCCAGUAGCUAGAAGUGCACCAAAAUUUUUGUGAUGUCUAGUGUGCCCUCAAAAACCCUUGAAAAUCUGGAGGACCAAGUACCAUUCAUGCCCGAUCGUACUCAUAACCGCAUUAGGUCUCCAAGGUGAACAACCUCUGGUCAAUAGAACAAUGUAGGUAAGGGAAGUCGACAAAAUGGAUCCGCAACUUCAGGAAAAGGAUGGCUAUGAGGGUUGGGCCUAAGAGUCUGAGCCCUCAACAUGUGGGCUGUCAGCAGUCUACCUGAGCUAGUCUCGCGGCAAGGGUAGGCAAUCGCAUGCUGAUUGGGCUACGGGUGUAGAAUUCCCCUACUGGGGGAUUUUCCCUAGGCGUCGAACAAUUGACUCAGAACUGGUAUGAACAAGGGGAAUCUUAUUCUUUAAUUAAAAUAAAGCACUUCGAUGUUCCCUGCGGAUGCUAACGCAAUGUGAUUUUUUCCUAGUUCUCUGAAUGUAAAAGUGAAGAAAUUCAACCAAGCACGGGUAAACGAUGGGUGUGACUAUGACUCUCUUAAGUUAGCCAAAUUCCUCAUUAUCUAAUUAGUGACACGCAUGAAUGGAUUAACGAUAUUCCCACUGUCCCUAUCUACUAUCUAGCAAAACCAUAUCCAAGGAAACGAGCUUCAUAGAAUCAGUGGGGAAAGAAGACCUUGUUGAGCUUAACUCUAGUCUGACUUUGUGAAAUGACUUGAGAGGUGUAGAAUAAGUGGGAGCCAUUUUUGGUGCAAGUGAAAUACCACUACUUUUAAUGUUAUUUUACUUAUUCUCUGUGGCGAAGAUGGGGAACUUCCCCUAUUUUUUGUGUUAAGGCAUGUUUCGGCGGGUUGAUCUGGGCAGAAGACAUUUUCAAGUGGGGAUUUUGGCUGGGGCGACACAUUUGUUAAAAGAUAACGCAAGUUUCCUAAGAUGAGCUCAACGAGAACAGAAAUCUCGUGUUGAACAAAAGGGUAAAAGCUUAUUUGAUUUUCAUUUUCAGUACAAAUACAAACCAUGAAAGCAUGACCUAUUGAUCCUUUAGAUUUUUAGAAUUUGAAGCUAGAGGUGUCAAAAAAGUUACCACAGGGAUAACUGGCUUGUGGCAACCAAGCAUUCAUAGCGACGUUGCUUUGUGAUCCUUUAAUGUCAACUCUUCCUAUCAUUGUGAAGCAGAACUCACCAAGUGUUGGAUUGUUCACCCACCAAUAGGGAACGUGAGCUGGGUUUAGACCAUCGUGAGAAAGGUUAGUUUUACACUACUGAUGAAUUGCACUGCAAUAGUAAUAAAACUAGUACAAGAGGAACUGUUGAUUCACAUAAUUGGUCGUUGCACUUGGUUGAAAAGCCAGUGGCUCGAAGCUUCUAUGUGUCAGAUUAUGAAUAAAUGCCUCUAAGUCAGAAUCCAUGCUAGAAGCAGUGCAUGUCACUCUUCGACUGUAUCUCGACCCACAGUAGGGAAAUAACUUUGUCACCCCAAGGGGCCCAUGUCAUUUGCAAACCAUGACCAUGAAGCACCUCAGUUGG
rnacentral:rRNA from 1 species